UUUAAUUGAAGAGUUUGAUCAUGGCUCAGAUUGAACGCUGGCUUCAGCCCUAACACAUGCAAGUCUUACGUUAACACGUAUCAGCUUGCUCCUCUUCUGACGAGU
rnacentral:rRNA from 1 species